rnacentral:lncRNA from 1 species
UGUAAAUCACCCAUUAAAUAAUCAUCCAUAUAAAAAAAACUUCAAAUACCUGAAAACUUAUCACUCAAUCUGUCUAACAACUAUAGUCACCAAAAUUAACGGGAAAUGACGUAGCAAAAAUCUUUUGCUUGGCUUGAGAGUCUUGUGAGACUUUUGAUUCAUCUCUCUUAAUCAUUCACUGUCUUUAUCUUUUAGGUUAUAAAUUAUUUUUUCUUACAUUAAAAAAAUAAAACUAAAGUGCACAACUAUAAGUCUAGCUAAGACUACUUACUUCCCCACUAAGUACGAGUGACUAUUUUAAAUUUUAAAUUUCUCAUGAUUCCAUUUUAAGAAUACUCAUAAUUCAAGACAUCAAACUUAGGCUUCAAGCAACUCCCAAAGCAGAGGAAACUAUUUUUUAAUUCCAUUUAUUUAUACUACAUUGUGAAGUGGAUAUGAAACAAGGCCCAUAAAUGUCCACUAGACUAAGUUUGACCCAUAUAGUAUAAAGGGUCACCUAUAUGGCCACACAAUUUAUAUAUGUAGUUUUUAGGUUUAGAAAGCUCAAUAGUUCAAGUGUACAACGUUUGGCAGUUACGAAUCUAGAAUAUCUGACUAUGUAUAUCAAAAACUCUGUAUAGUGAAGUCAGGAGUUUCAAUUCUUAUAAAGAUAUUUUCAACGAAACAUGGAAUUCAUCCUAGCCAUGGAUGAGAAUAGUCAAAAGAUGUUUUUUAGCGAACGUCUUCAAGAGAUUUAUCAGUGACGUUUUCGACACUAGUGAAUGUAAUUUUAAUAUCAAUGCAAGUAAAGAAAGAAAAAAUACAGUAAGUUACUAAUCUGGUUCAAGAGAUAUAUGUCUUGAAUCUCUGCCAACAUGUCUUUUUCUUAUAAGUGCUAAUAUAUAUGUUUCUUCGUCUUCUGAGACGAGCCUCAUCAUCUUAGAUUCAAGAGAUAUUCUUAGUGACGUCUUGAAUAAACUUUAGAAGAGCAACGUGCGAAGAUCCACCGUCCAUUAAAGCUACGUGACUCUUCUCGCUCAUCUCCUUCACUCUACUCCUCACGUCACUAUCCUGCUCCAUCAAACACCGGAUCCCUCUCUCUAUCUCCUCUGCCGUCAUCAACUCAUCAUCCGCCGCCAUGAAAUCUCCUCGGAAACUAUUUCGGACCUCCACCGCUAGCCCUAGCUCCUCAACCAUCUCGAACGCGUUAACUUGUUGCUCUGCGUAAAGCGGCCACGUAGCCAUCGGAACUCCGAACCAUAGACUCUCUAGCGUCGAGUUCCAUCCACAAUGCGACACGAACCCUCCGAUCGCAGGAUUUGCUAGAAUGGCGCUUUGUGGAGCCCAACCUACAAUCUUUCCUAUCUCUGCCGUCCGUUCCAAGAAUCCUUCCGGGAGAAUUUCCUCAAGAUUCGUAAAUUCUUCGGGAGGUCCUAUCGAUCCUUUUGGUUGAGCACGACGAAGAGACCAGACAAAGCGGUGACCACUUCGCUCAAGCGCGAUUGCGAUUUCUUUAGCUUGGCCCUCACGGAAACCUCCCAUGCUUCCGAAACAGAGGAAAACAACGGAUUUACGUGGCUGCUCGUCUAGCCACCGUAGGAUCUCCGAUUGCUUAUCGUCAGAUGAAUUUGGACCGUUGAUUUUAAGAUUCAUAACCGGUCCAACUGUGUACACCGUAGGCAGAGGACUAUCUACGCCGGAGAAAAACUUCAUAGCUUGAGGCUCAAGCUCAGCGAAUGUAUUUACCAAAAUACCUUUAGUUUCUCGGAAUCUUCUGGUUUGUCUAAACAUAACCGGUAACCACUCCUUGGUUAAUAGAACCGAGGGGAAACACUUAACCGGUAAAGGACGAGUCAAACAAGGAACUUCCAGCUCAGUAGUGUCCGAGUCCUUGAGGUCACUAACGUCAUAGUUCUUAACGUCGUAAAGGUAUUCAACAUGAACUUGCAAUCCAAGAAACGUUGCGUUGGAUGUGUAAAACAUGUAACUGGGAACACCAAACUCAUUAGCGACAUCAAUCAUCAUCAUGCAAAACAUAUCCACCACGAAUCCAGCAAGACGCGACGGCGAAUCUGGUGGACCCGGGUCAGUAAGUUUUUCCACCGUGGCUUUGACCUGCGGCUUGAAGUUAUCAAUGUAGUCGAAAAAAUGUGGUUUGGUGUCAUCGGAGUCUGGUUUAUCAGGGACGGAGAGAACGUUGUAGCUAAGACGUUCUUCAGAAUCAGAGGAGAGAGAAGCGAUGUAAGAAGAAGAGUUACUGCUACUAAAUCCAUGCAUCUGAGGGAUGAUGAUGAUGGUGAUGGAGAGAUGGUCGUCACGGUCAACAUGAAGCUUAGCUACCUCCACUAAUGGCCGGAGAUGUCCGUCACCAGGUGAUGGUAUGAACACCAGCUCCAGUUUCAUUUUUCAAAAUAUUUAUAUUUUUGUAGCAAUUGAGAAUUGGUUUCUCCUAUUGAAGGUUGAAGAUGUUUCGGUGAAGAGAUAAGAUUCGUCUUUAGCAUACAUGACAUGUGGUACUUGGACAUCUACUGAUGUUAGUUUAACUUUUGUCACAGGCCAUACAAUCUUGAUCUUCAGACUUCAACGUUAGUACGUUACGUUAGUAUUUUUUUCUUUUAAUUGUCAGCUAUAUACUGCACUAUCAUACAAUUAAAGGUAACCGACGUUUAAUUCAUUGAGAUUUUGUUGGCAUGUAUUAUUGUUUCUCGAGAUAUCAAGCAUGUGGUGGGAUGCAUAAUAGACAAGAGUCACAAGACACGACGCAGAACAAACAGACUCUCUUUUUGGUCCACAUAUAUAAUGACCUAUCCAAGAAACGUACUCCACUCUUCCACCUUCUCGGUUACUGAUGCGAAAGUAGCAAACAAAUAUUUCACAUUUUUCCAAAAAGUGUUUUUAAAAAGUCACCUAAUAUGAUAACUCAUAAAAUUUUCGUUUUGGUCCGUGAUUGAACCAAGCUAUAAGUCUAUUAUAACAUUCUCAAAAUGUAAAUUAGUAUUUCUAAGAAACCAUGAUGUAGUUGUUUUUUCUUUUUGUGGGGUGAUGUCAGCAUUGGACUUAAGGUGAGUUCAAGAUUUAGUAUGCAACUAAAGCACUUUCAAGUCGUGAACAGAAUCCUUCACUUCCCUAAAUUUUUAGAUAUUGGAACAACUUAUAGAUUCAUAAGACUAAAUCUUGUGUUGAAAUAUUGAAGUUCUAUCUCAA